rnacentral:tRNA from 1 species
AUUUAAAUAGUUUAAGCAAAAAUUUUGAUUUGUGGUGUCAAGGAUAUGAAUUUAUUCAUUUUAAAUA